ensembl:lncRNA
CCGGCAGCGCACCGCCGCUGCAGCUCCGGCCUGCGCUAGGUUUCGCUGGCGAGGCCGAGCGCGCAAGGCGGCCGGCAGGCAGGUGGUGCAUCUUCCAGAGGCCGCGGGGCCCUCGGAAAAGCAGCGGGAGAGCUGCGCCCCUUCGAGGGGGUGGUUGCGCUGCGGUCCUGCGGGAGGGGGCGGUGCUUCGGCUGGCGGCGCUCCAGCAGAAAAUGGCGACCGUGAGGCUGGGCGCGUCAGUGCGGGGGUUGGAGCUGGUGAGGUGGCAGUAGCUGUCGUCAGCCUUCUCCUGGGGAUGCUACAUGGGACACACUUGACACUUGCAGCACUGUACAUUGAAACCAAUGUCUUCAAAGACAGGAGUGAACCUUUGUCACAACAGUUUCUUAAUGUUUGUUUUGUUCCAAUUGGCUGUAACGUGAAACAAGAAAUCCAGAACAAAGCAGUUUUCCAUCAAAGCGAAAUGUAGAAGAGAGUCUGCAACAAUUAAAUACAAUUCAUAUGACCUCUUACACAAUAGGAGAUGCAGAUACAUGAAGGCGCAAUGGUUAAUUUCAUCUGAAAUGCAUUUAUUUGUGUUUAAUUUAUGGAAAGCUGUAUUAUCCAGGUGUUCAUAAUUUGGUUUAUACUUCACCUUAACAGUAUAUACAUUGUCCUACUUUUUGAAUUCUCCUUUUUCAUUCAUGUUUGGACUGAUGCCUAUAUGUCCUCUCAUUUGUGGACAAGCAAUACUAUUAAGAGUUGUGUUAGUACCUAUUAUUCGAAAAGGAAAUUUGCUCCAUCUAUUAUAUUGUAACACAACCCAGUGUAGGUGCUUAUUAAUGUGUUUAUUCCAGUAGCACUAAAAAUACCGACUGACACAGUUCUCAUUGUGUUAGGUGCUGUGCAAGCAGAGUAAAAGACUAUUUUAGUAAAACGUGUUCUUCCCAAUAGUAUCAGAGUACUAGUACUAACAAUAACUAGUAUAAUAACUAGUGCUUGUUAGUACUAACUAUUUGCUGUUUUUAUUUUCUCAUAUAAAAAUUUUAAAUAUGGCUGAUAAUACACAUGAUAAUUUUAAGGGAUAGAAGGAAGGCCAGAAUAUAAAGCUCUGCAAACUAUAUCCACUUCUCUCUUGGUGUUUCUGUCUCUCUGCCRUUUGCUCAGCUAGUACAUUUCCCAUAAAUGUAAUCUACACUUGUAAAACUAAAUUUAAAAUAACUAAGUGCUGACAAGGGAAAAGAAGGCAGGAUUAUUUUCUACAUUCUCAUGACCUGGAAGAACAAUAGGUACCAAUGGAAGGUUUAAGGUCCUGUAUCUCUUCACCCAUCAGAGCUAGAAUUUUACAUGUACUAUUAAAGAUAGACUGAAGAGAGACCCGUUUUCCCAACAUAACAAAAAGUAGCUAAACUCUAGCCUUGGCAAAUUUUGGCAAAUUGUGUUUAAAUCAUGAUAUAUAGAAAAUAUUAGGUAAUUUAUAUAUGGAAUAUAAAUAGCCUUAAGUACAUCUCUGCAUCUCUUUUGUAGGUAAGAAAGUUUCCAUUUCUUGUCCUACUUGGCUUAUAUGUAUUUUUAGUAUUGUAAUGUUUACAUUUGUGCAUGAGCAAAUAAAAUCAAUUUGCUGCAUUAAUGUUCA